UUUUGGCGCCCAUGAGCCAGUAGCUCCGGGCUGAUCUGUAGCUCCCAGCAGUCCUCAGCCUUCUCCUCAGGCUCUGGGGUAUCCAGGGACUCCACCUGGGCGACAAAGGGAGCCCCUCACAUCUGAUCUCAAUUGUCUGUCAAAGUUCAGCCAUGUUAAGGACAUUCAAGGAGAAGCUGGAGAACUUCCGGUAUUGGGAGAAAACUGGACUCUAGUCUAGCCUGAGUGUCCUUCCCUGUCUGAAGAUUCGAGUAUUGCUUCUCAAGGCCAACAGGAAUCCCAGCUCCCACAUCCCUAAAACACCUACCUCAAUCUCCAGGUCUUUCUCUUCCACGGUCUUCAUGAGCACCAUCCGCUCUCGCUUUGGGGUACUCAACAGAGGGGCUCCCUGGCUCCCCUGGGAGGCCAGCAGACGGUCCAAGCUCAGGAGGCGCUCCAGCAUGGCCGGGUCCAUGCUGCUUAGCUUCUGCAGGGGGCUGAGCAGACAAAUAAGUUGCUCUCCACCUACCUCCUCCCUCAUCACCUACAGCAGCAGGACUCCCCUCACCACACCUUAACUUGGCAUAUCCUGUAGCUCCAGAACCUAAUGUUAACUUGCUAGGCAUCCAAUUUCUCUGGGUGCAGUGUCUUCAUCAGGUGAAGUGACUGCUCAGGAAUGCCAGGAAAUCACAGUGCCAGGUAUGAGAGAUCUAAGACACUGCCUGGAAGUACUGUCUACUGAGGAAAUCAAGAGACCAUAAGGUGACUGCCAGGGCAAUGCCUGACCAUUUGGAGGAGCAGUUGGGGAAAACAUCACAGAAGAUGCCAUCUUCAGAAGGGUUUUGAAAUCCACUGAAGACCUCAGCUGCCAAGCCUAUAUCCUGUGGGCAGCAGGGAAGGCCUGUUCAAGCACAGUCCUGACUGACUCUGAGCAUGCUCCUGUGGGUCCAUAGGCAAGCACGCUGGCAUUCUGCCCUUCCAGCAAGUGCCUUAGGAUGGGCUGCACUGAACCUGCAUAGAUGUCCUGCUGAGUACUCCUCUCCCCAUAGAAGGCAUCAAACCUGCAAGAAGAAAGAAAGAAAUUAGUAUGUCUGUGUGUAUGUAAGGGGUAGAGUGGGAUGGGGGUGAGUAAGGGAUUCUACUCUCAUAUGGAUCUUGGAUUUAAGAGAAUGUCUCUAUCCACUUUCUUGUACAAAGACCUUAAAAAGCACCCACCUAACACCUACUCCAUCCUCAUCUCUCUAUUGGUGUUAGGAAUACAGAGAUGGAUCUGAUAUCCUUGCUCUUAGAGUUUUGCAGUCUGGUAGGAUAGAUAUCCACACUGCUGUGGUUUAGGAAACGAAGAUAAGAACACACUCUUGAAGGAGUAACUGAUUCUGCUCAAGGAAGGAAGAUUUUGACCAAAGAAAGAAACUCUAAGAAUCAAGAAUAACACAAAAGCAAGGCUUCCCAAUCUUUUUCACAAGGCCACAUGUGUAGAACAUUGUAUUUUAAACCGUAAUGGGGAAUAUAGAGGAUGCUGCUUACGACUGGACUAGACUCCACAUACCAAUCACAUAUUCACUGCGUUCUGGUGGAGAAGCUGCAACUUAGGCCACAGCAGGGAGUUUAGUAUAUGUUGAGGGAAUGAGGCUGGAAAGAAACUGAAGCCCAAAUUGUUAACGGUCUAGUAUGGGAGCUAGCAAACU